rnacentral:rRNA from 1 species
UGUCUGGGAAACUGCCUGAUGGAGGGGGAUAACUACUGGAAACGGUAGCUAAUACCGCAUAACGUCGCAAGACCAAAGAGGGGGACCUUCGGGCCUCUUGCCAUCGGAUGUGCCCAGAUGGGAUUAGCUAGUAGGUGGGGUAACGGCUCACCUAGGCGACGAUCCCUAGCUGGUCUGAGAGGAUGACCAGCCACACUGGAACUGAGACACGGUCCAGACUCCUACGGGAGGCAGCAGUGGGGAAUAUUGCACAAUGGGCGCAAGCCUGAUGCAGCCAUGCCGCGUGUAUGAAGAAGGCCUUCGGGUUGUAAAGUACUUUCAGCGGGGAGGAAGGCGAUAAGGUUAAUAACCUUGUCGAUUGACGUUACCCGCAGAAGAAGCACCGGCUAACUCCGUGCCAGCAGCCGCGGUAAUACGGAGGGUGCAAGCGUUAAUCGGAAUUACUGGGCGUAAAGCGCACGCAGGCGGUCUGUCAAGUCGGAUGUGAAAUCCCCGGGCUCAACCUGGGAACUGCAUUCGAAACUGGCAGGCUAGAGUCUUGUAGAGGGGGGUAGAAUUCCAGGUGUAGCGGUGAAAUGCGUAGAGAUCUGGAGGAAUACCGGUGGCGAAGGCGGCCCCCUGGACAAAGACUGACGCUCAGGUGCUAA